rnacentral:rRNA from 1 species
AAUGGGGGCAACCCUGAUCUAGCCAUGCCGCGUGAGUGAUGAAGGCCUUAGGGUCGUAAAGCUCUUUCGCCUGUGAUGAUAAUGACAGUAGCAGGUAAAGAAACCCCGGCUAACUCCGUGCCAGCAGCCGCGGUAAUACGGAGGGGGUUAGCGUUGUUCGGAAUUACUGGGCGUAAAGCGCGCGUAGGCGGAUUAGAAAGUUGGGGGUGAAAUCCCGGGGCUCAACCCCGGAACUGCCUCCAAAACUGCUAGUCUAGAGUUCGAGAGAGGUGAGUGGAAUUCCGAGUGUAGAGGUGAAAUUCGUAGAUAUUCGGAGGAACACCAGUGCGAAGGCGACUCACUGGCUCGAUACUGACGCUGAGGUGCGAAAGUGUGGGGAGCAAACAGGAUU